GGAACAUGGAAAGGCUUUUAACAGAAAUGAAUACUUUCAGACUAGGUUUGAAGGACUGAGUAGGAGUAAACUAAAAGAGAAAAAGCAGGACAAAAGAAGCACCACUUUGGAAGCUCAAAGCCGCACUGGAAACACAGUCUUUCAGGAUGUCUGAAAGGGGCAAGUCUGUUUGUGUGGGGUAAGAAAUGCGGGGAGACAAACGGACAGUGGACAGAUUGCAGAGAGCUCUGUGUGCUGAGAGGAGGGUGCAGACCAGAUUUUUAAAUUGAGAAUGCAACAGUGAAGGAUUUCAAGCUUGGAGUGAGAGGGGAGACUACGAGCCUGCAGUGAUAAGGCAAAGCUGAAGAUUUCAGAGCCAAGGCCACACCCUACAGUUGCCAUGGAAUGGGGUGGCACAGUGGGCUUUGGAGGAAUCAAAGCUGGAGGAGCGGAAGAUAUACAGGGAGUCCACGGAGCCUCCCCUGCAAGCAUCAGUACAGAAGUCGAUGAUAAUCUGGAUGCAAGCCCAGGAGUGUGGAGUCCACUGACUCAGAAGACCUGCAUCUAAGGAAUUGGCUGUUCUUAUCCUUAAGAAUGAUGACUGUGUUUCCAAUUCCAGUAGACCCUUUGAUGCGUUCUGAAUAAAUAUUCCUUUUGGAAUUGAA
rnacentral:lncRNA from 1 species